GCUCUGCCCCCGGCCCCUCACUCCGCCUCCCCGGCUGCCCGGCCCGGGGCUCCGCGGACGCUCCGCGCAGGGCGCCCCGGAGCGGGGCCCGGGCUGGACGGCCCAUCCCGGCCCGCUGCCAGGGGGCGUGCGGCGGCAGGCUGCCUGGUACCACACUGGUGCUUUGAACUGAAGUCCUGAAACUUGAGGUAUCCUGGAAGCAAAGCACAGUCUUAUUGUUUCAUGAAUGAUGACAAAGCUAAUAAAGGGGACACUUCCUGAGCAUCGUUGGGGAACUGAUAGCCUGGAUGUGACCAGGGUCAUUAACCCUCUGUUGGUCAUUCAUUCCUAGUAAAUGCCUUGUGUCAAGCUGCUGGUUGUUGCUUAUAAGUCUCAAUUGGAAAAUUAAAAAAUAUUGGGUCUUUAAUUAUUUGAUGCAGUUUUAUUACUCUAGUUAUAAAAUAAGUAAAUGUAAGAUCUGCCUCUCGGGUGCAAAAAGCCCACACCUAGCAGAGCAGAGUUUACUUAAAUUGUGUAUGUCUGUCAGUAUUAUAAGUGGGUGGAUAGGGAGCUGGUGGUCAGAUACCGUGGUGAUGAAAGCCCUAUAAAUAUCCACUAGAGAUAGUGUUUAAUCCCAGACAAAUUUAAAACUCUCAUGCAUCCACCUAUGCAUGAGAGAAACAAAUAUUCCCAGACAGACACAAAACAUUUAGGGGAAGGGGAAUGUCAAAGCAGGCUGCCAAAAUAGCUGCAGUAUGAGUGUUGUGUAUGCAAGCCAGGAGGAUUGCUUGAAUCAUCCUCUGCUCUCAAGAUUCCAUUCAUCUCCUAAUGAUGCAUCCUAAAGCCACUGAAGGAGCUGUUAUGCAUCUUGUCAGAGCUAUUAGUUGGCAGAUCUUUGACAUGAUACAUCGUAAUGGCUAGCCAUACAUCCUGUCAGCCCGCAGCUUGCAAUAUUAUUGUGGUAAAACAAAGGGGUGGGCUACAAACCUUGCAAGAAAGCAGAAGCUAAUUUUCUGUGUUACAAUGCUAUGUGACGAACAAGUUACCCAUGUUUACGUUAUUGUGCAGAUGUAUUUUUUAACUGUGUAGGCUGCCUGAUCGCUCUUUAAAAUGCAGCCUUUCUUAGAGGCUCAAAAUGGUCUGCCCAAAUACUGAUGACUUUUGCCAACUUGUAGAAAUCGCUAGAAGGAUUUUAAACCUCACCCUCUGGAAACUAGCCCCUGUCUCUGAUGGGCUUCCCAGUGCGUGUUUGUAGAGCCCUGCAAAUCAGCAGAUAUUCACAGACCAUUUUUUGCAGAUUGCUGCUCAGAUGAGGAUACAAAUUUUGUAUCUUCAUAUCUGUUUACUGUAUCUACUUCAUUCAGUUCUUAAGGUGUGUAUUCUGUGAUUUGUACAAUGCUGAGUGUCUUGUUGCUGCUUAACAAAAAGGCUUCUGGACUGAAAAUGUGGAUACUGACUGUGUAUCCUGGAUUUCCCCAUGAGCAGGGAUCUGAUUCCCCAAACUUCAGUUUUCUUCCACUCACAUUGUCCCUCCUCUUAAACUUCUUCACAUCUUUAUUUAGAUCUAAACUAUGACUGAAGUAAACUAUAUUUUCUGAUU